rnacentral:lncRNA from 1 species
GACUUUAACCCUGAAAAUGAAAGAAUGAGGAUUUUAUCAGCCUUGAGGAGUCUAAGGAUGCUAUGGGCUUGAUUACUAAAAACAAACAAAAGCAACAAAAAGUUAAGUUCUCCAUUACUACAAAAUCCUGAUUACAAGAGGAAUUAUCUGCCUGAUAUCUCAGGGCUAUCAAUGGUCUUCAUGAAUAUUUCUUCAAGUCUCUGACUGCCGAGCAUCCCUGUCAAAUGCAGCUUGAAUGCAUCCAGUACCAUCGAGUCUCCCUCCACCGGUUAUCUCAACAGGGAACUCAGUCACUGUUCAAGUAUCUGUUUGGAGACCAAUUCUCAGCAUCUUAAAGAAUCUCCUUUUCCAAAGCUAUGACAGUAAAUGACUUUCUUGAGAUGGAUAUGCCAGUAAAUAUAACCAGUAAAGUAAAAGUUAAAUUGGCUUAAUGCUUUUUCUCAAAAUAAAAUGUCCAAUGAGCAAUAUAACA